rnacentral:rRNA from 1 species
UACGAAGGUGGCAAGCGUUGUUCGGAUUUACUGGGCGUACAGGGAGCGUAGGCGGUUCGGUAAGCCCUUUGUGAAAUCUCCAGGCUUAACCUGGAACAGUCGGAGGGGACUGCCGGGCUAGAGGACGGGAGAGGAGCGCGGAAUUCCCGGUGUAGCGGUGAAAUGCGUAGAGAUGCGGAGGAACACCGAUGGCGAAGGCAGCCCCCUGGGCUAACACUGACGCUGAGGCACGAACGCGUGGGGAGCAAACAGG